rnacentral:rRNA from 1 species
UACAGGGGGAUAACAGUUAGAAAUGACUGCUAAUACCGCAUAACCCGCUAGAGUCGCAUGACUCGGACGGAAAAGAUUUAUCGGUACGAGAUGGACCCGCGUCUGAUUAGCUAGUUGUGGGGUAACGGCCCACCAAGGCGACGAUCAGUAGCCGGCCUGAGAGGGUGAACGGCCACAUUGGGACUGAGACACGGCCCAAACUCCUACGGGAGGCAGCAGUGGGGAAUAUUGCACAAUGGGGGAAACCCUGAUGCAGCGACGCCGCGUGAGUGAAGAAGUAUUUCGGUAUGUAAAGCUCUAUCAGCAGGGAAGAAAAUGACGGUACCUGACUAAGAAGCCCCGGCUAACUACGUG